GGCGUCCAUAGCGUUUAGCUGGGCGAUAUCGUCACUGGUUAUGAAGGCAGCGUAACAAGACGCUCCUUGUUUCUGCAGCUUUUUAAUCUGCUUUAGAGACACCAGGUUCGCGCAAGGUGAAGUGGCCGCGUGUAAGACCGCCGUCACGUAAUUCAUGACCGCAACACCUUCGGACUGCGGCCUGUUUAGGCUCUGCAGCCGAUAUGAGCGGCCGUGGCGCGUCACCAUGCAGGUGCCCUGUCCAAAGUCGAGUAAUGCACUGUGCUCUCGCAUCCAACGGCUGCCGAGAAUUAGGUCGAUACCGUCGGCUAGCUUAGGGAUAACUUGUGCUACGAUUUCGCAGCGGAAUCCGUGGAUACGGAGCGACAUAUGCACCUGACCUUGGAGGCGGACGCUAUUUGCGCCAUCUCCUAGCACGCAAGUAGCUACGUGGCUAGUGAGGGGCUGUAAACCCAGUUUUUGCACAAGUGCGGCAGAUACGAAAACGUGCGAAGCACCUGAGUCGACUAAGGCGACAGCUUUUGUGCUAGUAAAGUUGCACGGUAGUAGUAGCGCGGUGUUUUCAGUCAGAGGUUCUAGUGCAGAACACUUGGACUUUUCCUGGCAGGGGUCGAGCCAUGCUUGAAACUCGCCGCUGCAGUUUGGGGACCUUGUGCGACCACCUCCGGGUUUAGGUUCGGAGAAGAUACUGGAGUUUUUUGUAAACUCUUUGAGUAGGGUCCAACCGCGUGUUUGAAUUCCUUUUCUAGGUGGGCGCACUUGGGCACCAAAAUAACCGCACUAGUUGUGUCCGGAGCGCGCUGUUUAAAAGUGCUGUAGUUAUUCAGCCACGGAAUCGCGCGAUCGGCUGGUGCGUUGCACCAGAUAUGCUGUCCACUAAGAUUAUGCGAAGUGAACGAGUCUGGACAGGCAAAGAUAGGACAGNNNNNNNNNNNNNNNNNNNNNNNNNNNNNNNNNNNNNNNNNNNNNNNNNNGGGACGGGAUAGUUCUUAACGGCCUCGAUUUUGCGUGGAUCCACCUUGAGUCCCUCGCGGCCGACGAUGUGGCCUAGGAAGUUUACUUCGGGCUUGUUCAGCUCGCACUUCUCACGUUUUGCGCGGAAACGCGCCCCUUUGAGGGAUUCGAGGACCGCGCGCAUGUGUUCGAGGUGACUUGAUGGAUCUUUGCUGAAGAUGAGGAUAUCGUCCAGGUACACAACGCAGUAACCGGCGUCGAUGUGUUUUUUAAGCACGGUAUUCAUGACCUUUUGGAAGGUCGCCGGCGCGUUCGUCAACCCGAAGCACAGUACUUUGUACUGGAACGUCCCGAAAGGUGUUAUGAAGCUGGUUUUGGGGAUGUCCUCCUCCGUGAUGCGGAUUUGAUGAUAGCCGCUUUGUAGGUCAAGGGACGAGAAUAUGCUCGCACCCUGAAGUUUGUUGAGGAGGUCGGUGAUGUUUGGAAGUGGAUACCGGUUUUUUACGGUGAUUUUGUUGAGGGCGCGGAAGUCGAGGCACAUACGCAGCGAGCCGUCCUUCUUUUGUGCGAAGAGUACGGGCGCGCCGAAGGGUGAUUUUGAUUCCUCGAUGAAGCCUUUGGCCAGUAAGUCCGCGAGCUGCUUUUUCAACUCCGUUUGCUCCAACUGGGAAAGUCGGUACGGCCGGGAGUACGGUGGCUUUUUGCCAGUUUCUAGCUCGAUUGUGUGGCCAGUGCCGAGAUCCGGCCCGAGGCCCGUUAAGGGCUCAAAAACCUCCUUAUAUUCGUCCAGCAGUUCUUCCAGUUUAUCUGGCGACACCAGGGUAGGGUCGGACGUGGUCGCCGUUGCGGCGUCCAUAGCGUUUAGCUGGGCGAUAUCGUCACUGGUUAUGAAGGCAGCGUAACAAGACGCUCCUUGUUUCUGCAGCUUUUUAAUCUGCUUUAGAGACACCAGGUUCGCGCAAGGUGAAGUGGCCGCGUGUAAGACCGCCGUCACGUAAUUCAUGACCGCAACACCUUCGGACUGCGGCCUGUUUAGGCUCUGCAGCCGAUAUGAGCGGCCGUGGCGCGUCACCAUGCAGGUGCCCUGUCCAAAGUCGAGUAAUGCACUGUGCUCUCGCAUCCAACGGCUGCCGAGAAUUAGGUCGAUACCGUCGGCUAGCUUAGGGAUAACUUGUGCUACGAUUUCGCAGCGGAAUCCGUGGAUACGGAGCGACAUAUGCACCUGACCUUGGAGGCGGACGCUAUUUGCGCCAUCUCCUAGCACGCAAGUAGCUACGUGGCUAGUGAGGGGCUGUAAACCCAGUUUUUGCACAAGUGCGGCAGAUACGAAAACGUGCGAAGCACCUGAGUCGACUAAGGCGACAGCUUUUGUGCUAGUAAAGUUGCACGGUAGUAGUAGCGCGGUGUUUUCAGUCAGAGGUUCUAGUGCAGAACACUUGGACUUUUCCUGGCAGGGGUCGAGCCAUGCUUGAAACUCGCCGCUGCAGUUUGGGGACCUUGUGCGACCACCUCCGGGUUUAGGUUCGGAGAAGAUACUGGAGUUUUUUGUAAACUCUUUGAGUAGGGUCCAACCGCGUGUUUGAAAUUCCUUUUCUAGGUGGGCGCACU
rnacentral:lncRNA from 1 species